rnacentral:lncRNA from 1 species
CAUCUUGUCCUUGGGCACUUCCAAGUCUUGUUCUUUUUUCUCACUCUUUUGAUAUGUACAUCCAUCACCAACAAGCGAUGUUGAUUAGCCAAGCUCUCUCCCGGUAUAACUUUGCAAUCCUUACAAGUUAUACAAUCCCCUUUCCUCAUUAGAAGAAAAUCUAUUUGUGUUUUUGACGACCCACUCUUGUAGGUGAUCACAUGUUCUUCUCUCUUCUUAAAGAAGGUGUUGACUAAGAAGAGAUCAUAUGCAAUUGCAAAAUCCAAGAUAACUUCCCCAUCCUCGUUUCUCUCC